rnacentral:rRNA from 1 species
GACGAACGCUGGCGGCGUGCUUAAUACAUGCAAGUCGAGCGAGGCCCAUCCAGUGGCAACACUGGGGAAGGCCGAGCGGCGAACGGGUGAGUAACACGUGAGCAACCUGCCCCGAAGUCUGGAAUAACAUCGGGAAACCGGUGCUAAUACCGGAUUGCCCCACCUGACCGCAUGAUCGGGUGAGGAAAGAUUUAUCGCUUCGGGAGGGGCUCGCGGCCUAUCAGCUAGUGGCGGGGUAACGGCCCACCAAGGCGUCGACGGGUAGCUGGUCUGAGAGGACGACCAGCCACACUGGGACUGAGACACGGCCCACACUCCUACGGGAGGCAGCAGUAGGGAAUCUUGCGCAAUGGGCGAAAGCCUGACGCAGCAACGCCGCGUGGGGGA